UCAAGAAAGCAAGGGCACAAGGUGGAUGCCUUGGCACAUGAAGGCGAGAAAGGACGUAAGUGAACGAAAACUAGGGUAAGCUCACAAAAAGCAUUGACCCCUAGGUCUCCGAAUGGGGCAACCCGGUUGUGGAAGACACAAUCAUUACUAAGUGAAUACAUAGCUUAGUAAGGCGACACCCUGCGAACUGAAACAUCUAAGUAGCAGGAGGAAAAGAAAGAAACAUCGAUUUUCUAAGUAGCGGCGAGCGAAAGGAAAAGAGCCUAACUCAAUAGCGAUUUACUAAUGUUAGUCAAAUUAUCUGAAAAGAUAAACCAAAGAAAGUGAAAGUCUUGUAGACGAAAACAUUAAUAAACGAGAGGGAAAGUAUCACCGGGCACGAGUAACCCGGUGUGAAGAUAGGGGGCCCAUCCCCUAAGGCUAAAUACUAACAUGUGACCGAUAGUGAACAAGUACCGUGAGGGAAAGGUGAAAAGAACCCCGAAAGGGGAGUGAAAUAGAACCUGAAACCUAGUGCCUACAAGCAGACAGAGCGUGAGCGAACGUGAUGUCGUACCUUUUGUAGAAUGGGCCAGCGAGUUAUUCUAAAUUGCAAGGUUAAUGAUUUAAGAUCAGAAGCCGUAGCGAAAGCGAGUCUUAAUAGGGCGAAAGUAAGUUAGAAUAGACCCGAAACCGGGUGAUCUAUCCAUGGUCAGAGUGAAGUUGAAGUAAAAUUCAAUGGAGGCUCGAACCGGGUGCGGUUUAAAACGCAUCGGAUGAACUGUGGAUAGGGGCGAAAAACCAAACGAACCCGGAGAUAGCUGGUUCUCCUCGAAAUAGCUUUAGGGCUAGCCUCUGACCUAAGAUUUUAGGAGGUAGAGCACUGAAUGGUCUAGGGCGGAUUACCGUACCAAAACCUAUCAAACUCCGAAUGCCAAAAAAUCAAGUCAGGGAGUCAGACUUAGGGGGAUAAGCUUCUAAGUCGAAAGGGAAACAGCCCAGACCGACAGCUAAGGUCCCAAAAUUUGAAUUAAGUGGAAAAGGAUGUGAAUCUACUAAGACAACCAGGACGUUGGCUUAGAAGCAGCCAUGCAUUUAAAGAAUGCGUAAUAGCUCACUGGUCAAGUGGGUUUGCGCCGAAAAUGAACGGGGCUCAAAUUCAAUACCGAAGCUUCGGAUUAAUAGAGGGAUUAAGUUUACAAAUGAGACUAGGAAAUAUUUAACAAAAACAGAAGAGAUUAAAAAGAAAAACAAAUUUCAGACGCAGACAUAAAAGAUAGGAUAUUAAAAAGAAAUAUUCAAAAAACACAAGUCUAAAGUCAAAAGUGAGUAACAUAAGAAAUUAUGAACUAACAAUCACUGGUUAGAGUUAAAAACUAGGACUCAUAGCUAAACUUAAUACCUCUAUUAGUGGUAGAGGAGCAUUGUAUUAGAGACGAAGCCAAGGCGAAAGCAAAAGUGGAUCUAAUACAAGAGAGAAUGCUGGCAUGAGUAGCGAGAAGGGAUGUGAGAAUCAUCCCCGUCGAAACCCUAAGGACUCCUGAGCAAGGCUCGUCCCCUCAGGGAAAGUCGGGACCUAAGCCAAGGCCGAAAGGCGUAGGCGAUGGAUAACAGGUUUAUAUUCCUGUACCGCUUGAAGUCGUUAAGAGAGAAGUGAUGACGCAAAAGGAUAAGCAAAGCCAUCAGAUGGAAAAGAUGGUCUAAAGCCGUAGGAAGAAAAGUAGGCAAAUCCGCUUUUCACAAAUUCUAAAAGCCGAUAGGUAUCGAAAACAUAAGUAGAGAAGUUGCCGAUUCCAGGUUGCCAAGAAAAGUCACUAUCCAGACCAAAGCGCCCGUACCAAAACCGACACAGGUAGGGAGGUAGAGAAUACCAAGACGCGCGGAAGAACCUUUGUUAAGGAACUCGGCAAAAUGUCCCCGUAACUUCGGGAGAAGGGGAGCCUGAGCAAUCAGGCCACAGAAACCAGGCCCAAGCGACUGUUUACCAAAAACACAAGUUUCUGCAAAAUCGCAAGAUGAAAUAUAGGAGCUGACACCUGCCCGGUGCUGGAAGGUUAAGGGGAAGGCUUAGAGCAAUCGAAGGCUAGAACUUAAGCCCCAGUAAACGGCGGCCGUAACUAUAACGGUCCUAAGGUAGCGAAAUUCCUUGUCGGGUAAGUUCCGACCCGCACGAAAGGUGUAAC
rnacentral:rRNA from 1 species